rnacentral:rRNA from 1 species
GCAGUAGCCACGGUAAUACAGAGGGUGCGAGCGUUAAUCGGAUUUACUGGGCGUAAAGCGUGCGUAGGCGGCUUUUUAAGUCGGAUGUGAAAUCCCUGAGCUUAACUUAGGAAUUGCAUUCGAUACUGGGAAGCUAGAGUAUGGGAGAGGAUGGUAGAAUUCCAGGUGUAGCGGUGAAAUGCGUAGAGAUCUGGAGGAAUACCGAUGGCGAAGGCAGCCAUCUGGCCUAAUACUGACGCUGAGGUACGAAAGCAUGGGGAGCAAACAGGAUUAGAUACCCCUGUAGUCCCUGUCUCUUAUAC